UCAGUCUAAAUAACACGCAUCUUUGAGUUUGUGUGUGUGUGUGUGUCUGUCUAUAUAUGUGUGAGCAUGCCGUUGUGUUGCUCUGUGUGGCUCGGCCUUUAUAGAUGUGUGUGUGUUUCGCUGCAAAUACCCACGUGUGCUGUGCAUGUCUUUCUCUAGAUCUUCGUGUUUAUGUGUAUUGGCGGGGGGGGGGGGGCUGUCACCGUAGGGUCGUGUGUCCGCCUCUGUUCGUUUGGCUCAUUUGAAUGUGUGUGAGUGCACGCGGUCUGCAGAUGCCUGUGUGUGAUGUGGACGUCUCUCUGGGUCUUUGUGUGUCUGUGGGCUCGUGGGCCUUUCUCUGUGCGUCUCCCCUCCCCUAUUCAGCCCUACUGGGGAGCCAGGAGUGAGUCCCUGCAGCCCGGUCUACUGAAGGCCGUCUGGCUGGCAGACAGCAAGGGCUCCACACCCCUCCUCUCCUGCUCAAGCAGCGGCUGUGCUAAUCACUGGGUUAUAUGCAGAUGGCAAAUGUGGGCUGCCAGGCUUGGAGGAGGGACUGUGGAGGGGGUGUGCAGAUGAGCAGACACGAAGGAGCAUGAAGACAAUUUAAAGGCAGAAAGGGGAAAACGAGCCUUCUUGGUUUUGGGGUUCGAGGUGCGGGCUUCUCUCCAGAGGCAUGAAUCCGAUGGAGAGGAUGUGAUGUCUGUGGUAGCUUCCCUCUCAUCAAGCCAGAGUCUUACGAUCACAGGAUUCUAGAAAGCUAGAAUUUUAGAUCUGCGGGAUUCUGGAAUCUCAGCCUCCUGCAGCUCCAGCCUCUUAGAACCACGUUCACAGACUCUAAUCCUCCUGGGAUCUUAGGACCUUCAAACACAGAUCUUCUCUUUCUCCCCAUUCUCUUGCUUUUCUUUGUAUAGAAUCAUGGCCAACGAAUGACCUUGAAAGUUCAUCCCGUCCACCCUCUGGCUCUGGGCUGGGCAGCGGAAAGAGAGAGAGAGGCCCAUCAGCUGAGACAUUCUUGGGCGACGUUGAACUGGAAUCUUCCAUUGGCAAGGACUUGUCUCCUGAAUGAUCUGGGCUCUCAUAUUACCCCUGUCACCUUCCGCUGGGACUGCGUUCUCCUCAGAGACAAAGGCGCCUAUGUUCCCAGGAUAUGUUUUCGGCCAGUCAGGAGGUAGCAUAAUAGCCUGCAGGUGUGAGGAGAGCCAGGGUGGGGCUCCUCUGAGGCCCUUGGCCGUGGGGACUCAGCAGCCCAGCCUGCGGUGGAGGGGGUGGCCAACCAGCCACCUUCCUCUCAUGGCUUCUUAGGAUGGCAGCCGAAAAGGCUAGUCCUAUCACCGGGAGCCACGGACUGUCUCUGAGGGAGGACACUCUACCGUACUUUGAUCUCCUCCAGGACUCACCCAAACUUCUGCGCGUGGCUGCUUUUCAGGCCCUGACUGCUAGCCAUCCCAUCUCUCCCUCCACGUGUGUCCAGCCACACUGACCUCCCUCCCCGCCUCGAAUCUGGUUGACUUCUUCGUGCCUCCAAAUCGGCGUGGGGCUUGCUCCUCUCUGCCUCUUCGUCAUGAUGCAAACUCUUACCCAUCCACGGAAGGGAAGGUCGCACUCAGAUUUCAGUGCCAUGAGAGAGAGAGAGUUUGACUUACUACUUUAUUUCCCGGAACCUACAACAAUGUUUGGCACACUGUAGGUGUUCGAUCAAUGUUUGUUGAACGACUAACAGGUCGGAUGCAUCCUGCAGAAUUGCCCUUCUGAAGCCUCUGUUCCUCGCCUCCUUAUAGGUGUCUCCCUGGGCCCCCACCCCUCCCCUGGGAUUACCCGUGGCCCAGAAUUUACCACCCUAGGUCAAAGGUCUUUGCUUACUUUGUCUUCUUUACCAGACCAGGAACCCCUUGAAGUUAAUGACCACGUCUGCUCAAUCUUUCUGCCGACAGCGUCCAGUUCAGAGCCUGCACCCAGCAGGUGCCCAGUAAACGUGGAGCCGUUGCCAGCAGCCCAGCUUGGUGACUUGAAAUCCCCUGUUGGUCCCAACUGUGAGCACUGGUCCAAGCUGUUGGCAACAUCUGCUCUAGAGUCUCAUUUGCAAUUAUACGUUCCCAGGCUCUUGCCACUUAAUAUUUAAUAACCAGGCGGCUGGCCUUCUCUGGCAGCCACUUAAGCCCCUGAUUGCCUCUUGUGUGAACUUGGCCCUGAGUGAGGCAGGGACCACACUGGGGUUAACUGUGAAGCCUGUAUCUUGGGUCUGGGGCCAGCAUCAGGCCAGGGCCUUAGGGACAGGAGGAAGGAACGCCUGUUGGCUUGAGGCUCCUGGAUGACCUUACCAGGAGAAGCAGGGGCGCGUUUGCUCUAACUGGCUCCACCUCUCCUCCCCGCCCCGUAAGGCUGUGCCUGCUCAUGCCCUCGUGAGCCAGGGAGGGGGGCAGAGGAAAAAUGUCAGCGGGACCUUCCCUGACUCACAUCCGAGCUGAGCCAGGAGGAAGAAAGGGGGAUUCCGCCUGGGCCAUAUCCCAGCAGGAAAGACCAGCUAAAAGCUCGGGUGUCCGUUCACCCUGGGAUUGCACCAGGCUGCAUUGCCCGUGAUCGGAUCUCUGGGACUCCACGGACUCGGUGAGGGCGAGUCUGUCGUCAUCGCUCCAUUUUCUGGAUGAGGAACACUGAGGCCCAGCGAUGCUAACUAGGAGGACUGGAACGUGGUGCAUGGCCGCUGAGACCCGUCGCCUGCUCCUGCUUCCUGCUUGUCUGGGAAGGGAAGGAUGAGGGCAGGUCGUGGCGGCCCUGUGAUAACAUUGGCUCCGUCAGGACCGGGAUGUGGUCUGUUUUGUCCCCUGCUGGGUCCCCAGAGCCUACAACGAUGCCCGGCACAGAGUAGGGGCUCAAAAUAAGCGGUUGUUGGAUGACUAUAAAUAGCAAGAAUCUCAUUCUAUCAUCAUCAUCCCUCUGCAAGUGUUUUUUUUCUAUGAGGAAACAGACUCAGAGAAGACAAGGAACUUACGCGAGGUCACACAGCAAGUAAGCGGGUGUGGUGGGUCCCCAGCUCCCCCGCGGGAAGGAAGGGUUUGCUGCCCAGCUGAGGGGAUGGAGUAAGUAGGGUCUCAAAGAUCCCAAAGAAAGAGCCCAACAUGCAACGUAGUGCAAUCAUAGGGAUAAGGAACAUCAGAGCUUUUACCUGGUCUGUGCUGUCACAAGAGUAAAGACACGAAAUUUACACUACCCGCCACCCCCCCCCCCCCCCCGGAGAGAGACCCAGGGGCCACAGCCGUGUCCUGCCUCGAGGGAACUCCUUUAAUGUUCCCAACAACCCUCCAGUGUGGUUACUGUUAUUAUCAUCCCACUUUAUAGAUGAGUACACUGAGGCUCAGAUAAACUAAGGAGUCCAAAGCCUGAGAGCUAGUGAGUAGCCAGAGCCAGGAUUUGAACCCAGGCAUUCUGGCUCAAGCUGUCAACGACCACACCAUGCUGCUUGGACAAGCCGCCCCCAUUGCCGGCCCAGGCAGGCAGUUUGGACCCUAGCCCAGGAGUCUUGGGCCAGAUCCCUGGAGCCUGCGUCGGACAAGUAGGACUGGGUGCGAGGAGUUUCCAUUUCCUGAGAUGAGAUCUCAGGCUGCUCAGGGAAGCUUUACCCCAGAAGCACAUCAGGCAUCCCACACCCACCUCUGUCCCGAGGCAAAGGAGAGAAAGAAGUCUGCCUCAAGGCUGCUCACGCAGCCAAAGCCUUCAGAAGGUUGUUACCCACAGUGUCUCCUCACCCCGACCACAGCCUACACCUCCUGGGACCGGGGCUCCCUCAGAGAAGCGUUGACCCCUUCCCCUUCCCGGGCUCUGCCUCCUGCAGGGACUCUGGGGCCAGCCAGAGACCAGAGAGAACUGUCUGGCAUGUGUGGGGCAGAACAGCCCCGGUUAACCUCUGCCCUCCCUCU